GACGAACGCUGGCGGCGUGCUUAACACAUGCAAGUCGAACGGGGUCCAGUCUGUAGCAAUACAGAGGAAGACCUAGUGGCGAACGGGUGAGGAACACGUGAGGAAUCUGUCCCGAACUCUGGGAUAACAGUUGGAAACGACUGCUAAUCCCGGAUGCCGUCAUUGGAUCGCAUGAUUCGAUGACGAAAGAAUUUCGGUUCGGGAGGAUCUCGCGGGCUAUCAGCUUGUUGGUGGGGUAAUGGCCUACCAAGGCAUCGACGGGUUGCUGGUCUGGGAGGAUGAUCAGCCACACUGGGACUGAGACACGGACCAGACUCCUACGGGAGGCAGCAGUGGGGAAUCUUGCGCAAUGGGCGAAAGCCUGACGCAGCAACGCCGCGUGCGGGAAGAAGGCCUUCGGGUCGUAAACCGCUUUCAGCAGGAACGAAAAUGACGGUACCUGCAGAAGAAGGUGCGGCCAACUACGUGCCAGCCGCCGCGGUAA
rnacentral:rRNA from 1 species